CCCGAGCUCCGGGCACGCGAGCGGCGGCGAUCGAGGGCGUCCGUGGCGCCAGGGAGAGCGACGAGGACGACUCAAUGGACGUCGACGUUUCCGACGGGGACUGUUUCCGGGAAUCUCUCAUGACGACACAGAGGAGCUACGAAACCACUCUUCUCACAAAUAUUUUUCCUGCAAAAGCCAGGGAGUAAAAUGAAUCAAACACCGAUUCAGUAAACAGAAAACAUGCUGCAUUAUGUUCUUCGCUGUACAAGAUUAACUGAACGAAAUGGCAGUGUGUGUGCUCAUGCGCUCGCGCCUGCGAUGUCAAAUCUAGAUACGGUAGUGGAUGUGGUUUCCUUAUUAACUUGUUGUGGGCGUGGCAGCGACAAAAACAACAGGUUGUCCGAGGAAAUCAAACAGUGGCAUGAUAUUCAAGAUCUGAUCAAAUGAGUCCCUGAUCUAAGCAUCGCCUUCAACAAAAUGUCUCCCAGGAGAAAAGCGAUAAAGAGGUGAGCGCUGGCAAUCCCCAAGACAAGGCAUCAGGCGAGUCCCAAAGUGCGUGCCAAUCCACACUGCGCUUGUAUGAAAAUCCUCGGGCAGUAUGAUAGCCUCCAAGUCUGCUUGAAUCAAAUGCAGUGACUUGCAAA